rnacentral:rRNA from 1 species
UACGAAGGGGGCGAGCGUUGUUCGGAUUUACUGGGCGUAAAGGGCGCGCAGGCGGCUUUGUUUGUCAGGCGUGAAAGCCCCGGGCUUAACCUGGGAACUGCGUUUGAUACGGCAGGGCUAGAGUUCGGGAGAGGAGAGUGGAAUUCCCAGUGUAGAGGUGAAAUUCGUAGAUAUUGGGAAGAACACCGGUGGCGAAGGCGGCUCUCUGGACCGAUACUGACGCUGAGGCGCGAAAGCGUGGGUAGCAAACGGG